rnacentral:tRNA from 3 species
GGGCCAGUAGCUCAGUGGUCAGAGCAGGGGACUCAUAAUCCCUUGGUCGUGGGUUCAAUCCCCACCUGGCCCACCA